CCUACGGGUGGCAGCAGUGAGGAAUAUUGGUCAACGGACGAGAGUCUGAACCAGCCAAGUAGCGUGAAGGAUGACUGCCCUAUGGGUUGUAAACUUCUUUUAUAUGGGAAUAAAAUGUUCCACGUGUGGGAUUUUGUAUGUACCAUAUGAAUAAGGAUCGGCUAACUCCGUGCCAGCAGCCGCGGUAAUACGGAGGAUCCGAGCGUUAUCCGGAUUUAUUGGGUUUAAAGGGAGCGUAGGUGGAUUGUUAAGUCAGUUGUGAAAGUUUGCGGCUCAACCGUAAAAUUGCAGUUGAAACUGGCAGUCUUGAGUACAGUAGAGGUGGGCGGAAUUCGUGGUGUAGCGGUGAAAUGCUUAGAUAUCACGAAGAACUCCGAUUGCGAAGGCAGUUCACUGGACUGCAACUGACACUGAGGCUCGAAAGUGUGGGUAUCAAACAGGAUUAGAUACCCUUGUAGUC
rnacentral:rRNA from 1 species